CGCUAGACCAUAGUACAAAGUUGCUUGAAUUUAUAAUUUUACCUAUCUAUGUUUGACAUAUGAGUCUCUAUCUUCUUAUUUUUCUCUUUCUCUCUCUUCUUUUUUCUUCGGUACUUCUUUCUCUCUCAUUCUUCUUCCUACCACUAUCUCUGUCUCUCCCAUCUACUCUUUCUUUUUUUGUCCUUUUAUCUCCUAUUUCUUAUUUCGUACUUCUCUCUUUCCUCCUCUCGUUGUCCUUCUUCUUUGUAUUGUUCCUUAGAUUUAUAGUAUUUUCUUUCUUUUAUGAGAACGAUUGGGAUUUUUGUUUUUAGUACUUUUUUAAAGCAUUUGAUUUUUGAGAUUUUGAUGAUUAACUGAUCUUGUAAAAGUGCUAAAUUUUUUUAAAUUGAUCUUGUAAAACCUCUAUAGUUAUAAAUUGGGUAUUAUGGCUAUAUGGAGAUUUUACUGUACGUAUUUGCUUUAAAAACAUAAAAAUAAAAAAUAAAAUAAAAGGUUUAAUUCUUAAUCGUUAAAACGGAUGUGAAUGAUUCAGAAAUGAAAGUAUUAGAGAUGCAUAUGAAUUGUCAGUGGCAGAGUUAUGAUUUUAGAUUAGGAGGGGACUCACAUAAAUGUUAAAAAAAUUAGUAAAUUAU
rnacentral:lncRNA from 1 species